rnacentral:misc_RNA from 1 species
GGUACCUGAAGAAAAAGCAUCGGCUAACUCCGUGCCAGCAGCCGCGGUAAUACGGAGGAUGCAAGCGUUAUCCGGAAUCAUUGGGCGUAAAGGGUCCGCAGGUGGCGAAUAAAGUCUGCUGUUAAAGACCGGGGCUAAACUCCGGAAAGGCAGUGGAAACUGAUUAGCUAGAGUACGGUAGGGGUAGAGGGAAUUCCCAGUGUAGCGGUGAAAUGCGUAGAUAUUGGGAAGAACACCGGUGGCGAAAGCGCUCUACUAGGCCGAAACUGACACUGAGGGACGAAAGCUAGGGUAGCGAAAGGGAUUAGAUACCCCUGUAGUCUUAGCGGUAAACGAUGGAUACUAGGUGUAGCUUGUAUCGACCCGAGCUGUGCCGAAGCUAACGCGAUAAGUAUCCCGCCUGGGGAGUACGCACGCAAGUGUGAAACUCAAAGGAAUUGACGGGGGCCCGCACAAGCGGUGGAGUAUGUGGUUUAAUUCGAUGCAACGCGAAGAACCUUACCAGGGCUUGACAUGUCGCGAAUCUAGCGGAAACGUUAGAGUGCCUUAGGGAAUGCGAACACAGGUGGUGCAUGGCUGUCGUCAGCUCGUGUCGUGAGAUGUUGGGUUAAGUCCCGCAACGAGCGCAACCCUCGUCCUUAGUUGCCAAUAUUAAGUUAGGCACUCUAGGGAGACUGCCGGGGACAACUCGGAGGAAGGUGGGGAUGACGUCAAGUCAGCAUGCCCCUUACGUCCUGGGCGACACACGUACUACAAUGGUUGGGACAAAGGGCAGCAAACUCGCGAGAGUAAGCGGAUCUCAUCAAACCCAGCCACAGUUCAGAUUGCAGGCUGCAACUCGCCUGCAUGAAGUAGGAAUCGCUAGUAAUCGCAGGUCAGCAUACUGCGGUGAAUUCGUUCCCGGGCCUUGUACACACCGCCCGUCACACCAUGGAAGCUGGCUACGCCCGAAGUCGUUACCCUAACCCGGUUUUGGGAGGGGGAUGCCGAAGGUAGAGCUAGUGACUGGGGUGAAGUCGUAACAAGGUAGCCGUACCGGAAGGCGUGGCUGGAUCACCUCCUUUACAGGGAGACCUAGUCUAAUUACCAAUAGAUAAAAAAGUUGGUAAUUCGCAAGAAUCCUUAGGUCGUGAGGGGAGCAAGAAAAAACUUUCAAACUGUAAUGGGUGAGGGUCAAUGGGCUAUUAGCUCAGGUGGUUAGAGCGCACCCCUGAUAAGGGUGAGGUCCCUGGUUCAAGUCCAGGAUGGCCCACCUAAAAUACACAGGCAUCCUGCCUGUGCCACAAAAAAAGGAAAAAGUUUUGGCAUUGUCUCUUGUAACCAAGAGCAAGAGAUAAUGCUGGAAUAGAUUCCAGCAAGAA